rnacentral:rRNA from 1 species
GAUGAACGCUGGCGGCGUGCUUAACACAUGCAAGUCGAACGAUGAACCCCUUGUGGUGUUAGUGGCGAACGGGUGAGUAACACGUGAGUAACCUGCCCUUAACUCUGGGAUAAGCCUGGGAAACUGGGUCUAAUACCGGAUAGGAGCGUCCACCGCAUGGUGGGUGUUGGAAAGAUUAGGUUUUGGAUGGACUCGCGGCCUAUCAGCUUGUUGGUGAGGUAAUGGCUCACCAAGGCGACGACGGGUAGCCGGCCUGAGAGGGUGACCGGCCACACUGGGACUGAGACACGGCCCAGACUCCUACGGGAGGCAGCAGUGGGGAAUAUUGCACAAUGGGCGCAAGCCUGAUGCAGCGACGCCGCGUGAGGGAUGACGGCCUUCGGGUUGUAAACCUCUUUCAGUAGGGAAGAAGCGAAAGUGACGGUACCUGCAGAAGAAGCACCGGCUAACUACGUGCCAGCAGCCGCGGUAAUACGUAGGGUGCGAGCGUUAUCCGGAAUUAUUGGGCGUAAAGAGCUCGUAGGCGGUUUGUCGCGUCUGUCGUGAAAGUCCGGGGCUUAACCCCGGAUCUGCGGUGGGUACGGGCAGACUAGAGUGCAGUAGGGGAGACUGGAAUUCCUGGUGUAGCGGUGGAAUGCGCAGAUAUCAGGAGGAACACCGAUGGCGAAGGCAGGUCUCUGGGCUGUAACUGACGCUGAGGAGCGAAAGCAUGGGGAGCGAACAGGAUUAGAUACCCUGGUAGUCCAUGCCGUAAACGUUGGGCACUAGGUGUGGGGACCUUCCACGUUUCCGCGCCGCAGCUAACGCAUUAAGUGCCCCGCCUGGGGAGUACGGCCGCAAGGCUAAAACUCAAAGGGAUUGACGGGGGCCCGCACAAGCGGCGGAGCAUGCGGAUUAAUUCGAUGCAACGCGAAGAACCUUACCAAGGCUUGACAUGUUCUCGAUCGCCGUAGAGAUACGGUUUCCCUUGGGGCGGGUUACAGGUGGUGCAUGGUUGUCGUCAGCUCGUGUCGUGAGAUGUUGGGUUAAGUCCCGCAACGAGCGCAACCCUCGUUCCAUGUUGCCAGCACGUCGUUGGGGACUCAUGGGAGACUGCCGGGGUCAACUCGGAGGAAGGUGAGGACGACGUCAAAUCAUCAUGCCCCUUAUGUCUUGGGCUUCACGCAUGCCACAAUGGCCGGUACAAUGGGUUGCGAUACUGUGAGGUGGAGCUAAUCCCAAAAAGCCGGUCUCAGUUCGGAUUGGGGUCUGCAACUCGACCCCAUGAAGUCGGAGUCGCUAGUAAUCGCAGAUCAGCACGCUGCGGUGAAUACGUUCCCGGGCCUUGUACACACCGCCCGUCAAGUCACGAAAGUUGGUAACACCCGAAGCCGGUGGCCUAACCCUGUGGGGGGAGCCGUCGAAGGUGGGACCAGCGAUUGGG